rnacentral:rRNA from 1 species
AACGAACGCUGGCGGCAUGCCUAACACAUGCAAGUCGAACGAGACCUUCGGGUCUAGUGUCGCACGGGUUCGUCACGCGUGGGAACCUGCCCUUAGGUUCGGAAUAACUCCCCGACAGGGGUGCUAAUACCGGAUAAUGUCUUCGGACCAAAGAUUUAUCGCCUUUGGAUGGUCCCGCGUUGGAUUAGCUAGUUGGUAGGGUAAAAGCCUACCAAGGCGACGAUCCAUAGCUGGUCUGAGAGGAUGAUCAGCGACACUGGGACUGAGACACGGCCCAGACUCCUACGGGAGGCAGCAGUGGGGAAUAUUGGAAAAUGGGCGAAAGGCUGAUCCAGCAAUGACGCGUGAGUGAUGAAGUCAGUAGGGUUGUAAAGCGCUAUUAACCGGGAUGAUAAUGACAGUACCGGGAGAAUAAGCUACGGCUAACUCCGUG